UUGCCAAGCUGACCCUCAAAGACUUACUAUAUUUAAUUAUAAAAAUAACAUCUCAAAACUGGUAAACAAUGUCUGUGCCUCAAAUUAUUAAAAUAGCAAUCUAUAAAAAGCAUAUGGGGAGCCCAACUAUGUGACUCUUGUUGAAGUCUUCGUUACAGUCACAGUGGAGGUGGGCUUUAAGGAGAGAGAUUCAAGAGAAUAAUAUAACGGCUGUAAAGAUCUUCAUACGUGAAGCUGAAAGUGAUGGAGCAACUUCAGACAGUUCACAGCUAAACAUCCUCCCUUUUGGAAGGUAUCCAACCCAAACGCAAGAGGAAAUCCUUGAAGCUGGUGGAAAAAUUCCCAUUAAAUCCAAAGGAGGAUUUAUCAGCACGUAUGCUUUCCUGACCCAGAUUCCUUUGACUGCGAAGGAAGUUGAUUCCACCCUGCCUUGUAUUGAUGGAGAUGGAAAACCAUGGAUUAUCCUGCUCUACAACAAUCCUUUUAUACUGUUAUCAUGUUUCUGUGACACUUCUCUUUUGUAGAAUGAAUGAAGACAAUUCUUUCAACUUUUUCUAAGAGGUUGAGGAUUUUUUAAUAUUUUGUUACUUUAUUUCUCUCCUCUGGACAGUUUCCCUUUUGUCUAGGGCACUGUUUAAGUGAAAUGUCCACAGCAAAAUGCUGUUGCACAACAAAAACUCCCCAGAAAAUAAAAUAAGCUGUAUAAAAGGAAUGAAUAGGUAGAAUGAUUUGGUCUGAAAAUACAAUUGUUCCAAUAUAUUAUUAUCUAUUCCUAUCACAAGUCUCACUGAGUACUGAGCAAAGGAAAUCUAUCAUGGACUGACCUACCGCCAGUAAUAUAGUACCACUUAAUAUAUUACUAGCUAAAAGAUGAUUAAUGAAAUACUUAUCCUAUGGUGGGUUUUUUCUGUUUUCUUGCUGUUCCAGCCCAGCAAGAAACUUCCAUAGCGUCAGUUUGGAGAGGUGGUGAUACUUGGCUCCUGCUGAGGAAAAAGGGUCAGUCUUUCAAUUAUGUUGGCUACUGUUUAGUCCUGAUUUGUUUUCUGCCUUAAGUGCUGGCAGCAUCUUUCAGGUCUGAUAGUCUUGCAAAGACAGGCUGAAAUGCAAUGUCUCUCCAUUUUAAUAUCUAAAUAGAAAUUCAGAUAGUCCAGUUGUCAAUCGGAUGAUCAGGCUCACAUCUCACGUCGCUUCACUGGGCAACAAAGAAGGGUUGCACGUACCACAGCUGAGAGCAGAAGUGAGACCUGCUAUAAAAGAAUAGUGAGGAAAAGCGAGUGCUUGUAUCCCACCAAAGAGUCCCUGCUAUUGAAGAUGAGGGCAGAUUUUCCCUGACUGCUAGAUCUACUUUAUAGCUGGAGCACCAGCUGACUGCCAAGAAAGACAUUUCGCUUGAGACUGCUGAUAGCGUGAGGGAACAUCUUCAUUUCCCUUUAAGUACGGAAACUCUGCUGCAGGACCAAGGCUUUGAAAUCUGCAAAGGAGGCUUCUGUGCAACGGGACAGAAGCCCUUUCCAGCUGUGGAAUUGGCUGAGGUUGUGAAAUAGGAAGCGAUUGUUUUAAAGUGUGGGAGACACUGUGUUGGCUCACAACAUAAAUUAUGCAUCUUCCCCUUCCUGUAGGCCUGCGUGGUGUGUUCAUGGCUGAACACGCAGUCCUUGGCUGCGGUGGAAAGGAGCUGUCUGGAUAACAAAGGAAAUGGAAGAUUUGCUACUUGUCAGAAUAGUCAUUCCUCACUGAGCCUCCCUCGUCCUUAGUGACACCAGAGCGUGCUUGGAGGAUGGACGCCCCUAGGUUCCCGAGGAGGGAGGAUUGUCUGAAAAAUUCAUUGCUCAGCUUCUGAUAGUCCAUAUAAAGUAAUUCAUGCCUGAGUAGAUGGAGGGGAAACCAAAUUUAAAACUUCUGAGGGAAAUAUGGAUAAUGGUCUCUGAAAAAUAUUUCUGUAAUGCUUUCUCAUUCCAGACUAAACUAAUCCUGUUGACAUCAAGUGCAAACUUAGACCUUCUGCUCCUCUUCCUCUCACAUAUAUUUACACUCGGUUAAAUAUAGGUCCAGACCAAAGCCCAGCCACGUUUAUCGCUCACAUCACCAUUAGCACGGAAGCACACACUGAGGCUUAGGCAUAGCCUGGGUCCCCAUGCCCUCUCAAGGAAACCUUUGCAUGUGAUAAGUUUGUUGGGUCAGGCUUUGGCUUCUGCACUCAGAGCUGGGAGGCAGUGCUCCAAGCUGCAUUUGCCCCAUCCACCGGGGACCAGCCUGAGUGCGGGAGCACUAAACCCAGCCUGGCCUCAUUGCAUCUGAGGGAGCAGCCAGCAACGUGGGCGGACAGGGGCUGAAGUCAGCUCUGCUCCUACCACUAUAUAGAAGUGUCUUCGUGCCCUCUCGUAGGCAACAGACACAAUGUAAAUUCCUCUUUCACUUCUACUGCCAACCAUGAAAAAUGCUGGAAGCUGUCAUCUCGUCAAAGGAACAUCAUUUCUUGUAUCAUCUGUUUAAACAAGUAUUUGACAGAACAAGCAGAGGAAGAUUACAAUACAGAGAUUAACAUUUAUUCAUCGAAAUGAUAGUAAAUGCAACCCGAUGGGGCAACUGUUCCCAAACAGGUAUAACCUGCUAACUUGCUAAUGAAGUAUGGAUCAGCGUUAAGUGCAAACACAAUCUCUAGAUGAACAUGAGAGAGCAAAUGCAUGGAGCAUCUUCAAUGCAGAAGGGAAGACAGUGAGUGACUUGACAGGACGGACGAGCUCAGCUCUAGCACUGGGGGAAGUCCGCUCAGCCAAAUAAAGCAAGCAAAAAGACAAAACCUGUCCCCACUCCGGGGAUACAGAGCUGUGUAUUCUGCAUCCUGCGCUCUGGACUACUGUAUGGGAAGCGUAAUAUUUCUUCAGCUGUUCUGGGAGAUAUAUGAUGUAUUUGCUACAUCCAAGUGCAAGCUAUAAAGUAUAAUAAAUAGAGAACCGGCAUUAAGAAGGCACUGUCUCUAUUUUAAAUUAGGGAGUAGUUGAGCUAUGGCAGUGAUACAGAACAUAUUCCUGUAAAGCAUGAGGUUAUAUCUCUAUCUGAAGUAGAGCUGUCCUUUCCUAUUUCAUUGUCAGAAAAACAUACUAACUGCAAAAUACUGCUUGGACCUCAUAAAACUGUUCUCAGUUUUUGAGUGCUUUAUUUAUGGGCUAUGCAGCACAAUGAUAUUUUAAAUGUCUUCUCUUUAAAUGCUAACAAUGAUCUAAUGGUUAUUAAGGUGAUUUUCUCAAACAGUCCUGUAUUUAGGAAACUGAAAUAUGUGAAAAGUAUUGCCACGUAAGUGGCCAUUGAUUUCCUGAGGUUUCUUCCAGGAGGUUGGGGUUUUCUUCUAUGAUUCUAUAAUCUAUUUACAAAAACAGUUAAAUUCAGUAGGAUGAAUUAAGAUACAACAAUAAAAUGUAGACUGUGAUCCUGCAAAUCUUUUCUCUUUUAUAUUCCCAUAUUCCUUCUCUGGGAAGAUUCUCAGGUUUGAAUAAAAGCUCCUUAUAGCUAAGAAAUCUGCAAUUAGGGCCCAAGGUUCUAUCAAGGUUAGGUCUUCUUUCGCAUUACUGUCCUCUCGGGUAUUUGUGUCCAGUUUCAAAUAAAAUAAUCAUUUUUUCCUGCUUCCAUUUAUCACAGGGAGCUUGAAGAAAAGAAAAGAGUACAGUUUGUCUAAUUUCCACUUCAUAAAGAUCAAGCUGACCAUUCCCUUAGCUAUUGCUAGUUUCCAGUAGAACUGUCUAAAUUACUUUUGGUAUAAGACUGUGAAUGUAUACAGAGAGUAGUAAUGAACUGGGCAAAUACAGCUGACACCAAAGACCUUUUGAAGUACAGUAUUUCUAAUUACAGACAAGUGAAACUAUGUGAACUAUUUUGACAACCUGGAUGGGGUUCACCUUACAAAUUAGGGUAUCUACACCCAGGUGUCUGGAUGCGGCUUAGGGUUUUAAGCUCCCUUGAUAGUCAGUCUAGUCAGUGGUGUCUAAAGAACCAUUCCUCUGGGCAGACUUAGGUGGGUACUUCAGGGUGAGCUGAAUAGCUCCCUCGACCCCAGGGGGUGGGAUGCCUAUCACUUGAACACAGGCAUCUGCUGCCACUCGAGAUGGCCCUAGUGCAAGCUGCCUGGCCUCUAGCUGCCAUUUCAGAAGGUCAUGGGU